rnacentral:lncRNA from 1 species
UAAUACUAGACUCUUUUUGCUUAAAUUUAUGGGUUGUUGAUUGGUUGAGGAUACUGUUGUCAACAGAUAUACUUGCAUCAAGUGAAGUUGUAAAGAGAGAAAAGAUGUUAGGCUGUCCAAAUUACCAGUUGCUUUCACUUGUUUUGAUCUUACUGUUAAUAAUGGUUGAUCCAAGUUCACAAGAAAGCCGUGUGAAAUCUGCUGUCUUUCUAUCACCAGCGUUUGUGCUGGAACCUGGAUCUGUCUCUAACAAGUUUUACUACAACAUUGGCUUCCCAAAAGGCCAUAUUGCUAUCAAAAAUUUCGAUGCCGAAGUAGUUGAUGAGGCAGGGAAUGCUGUACCUCUCUACGAGACAUAUCUUCACCACUGGGUUGUUGUAAGAUAUUAUAAUCGAAAAGGUGUGGAAGUAACAAAGUACCGUGAUGAUUUGGGGUUCCACCAAUCAGAUUUAAUUGUCAAGAGAAACUCAGGGAUAUGUGAUGGAGGCCUUUCUCAAUAUUUUGGCCUUGGGUCAGAGACGCGAAAAACAAUCACCUAUGUUCCAGACCCUUAUGGAAUAGAAGUCGGUAAUCCAGUCGAAGUACCUCCUGGAUACGAGGAGAAAUGGUUGCUCAAUUUACAUGCAAUUGAUACACGAGGUGCGGAAGAUAGAUUGGGAUGUACUGAAUGCAGGUGUGAUCUUUAUAAUGUUACCAAGGACGAGCAUGACCGAGUUAUAGAGCCAGAUUACAUUGGAGGGUUGAGAUGUUGUUACGAUGAAACAAGAUGCAGGGUGAAAGACGGAUUCCAAGGAUCAAAGAGAAGCCUGUACCUGAAGUACACAGUGAAGUAUAUUGAUUGGGAUCCCUCCAUCGUGCCUGUAAAAAUUUAUAUACUCGAUAUAACUGAUACAUGGAAAAAGCCAGAAAAAUCGACUGCCGCUGUGGCAAGACAUCACUGCCAGGUGUGAGAGAAAAUGAUAAUUUAGCUCAUAAUUCAAAUCAUUUUUAACUCUUUACUAAUAUUCAGGCAAUUUCUUUUACUUCAGAUUGAAUAUUUAGUGGAGUCAUGUUCAUCAGCUGUUGCAAAUGUCGAUUGCACUCAUACAAAGAAGAUAAUUGUAACUUUUCCUAGCGGCGGAGAUGUUAUCUAUGGAGUUGCUCAUCAACAUACAGGAGGGACUGGUAUGGCACUCCAUGGAGAGGUACUCCGAGCUAUUAUAUUUUGUUUCUUUGGUUAUGCUCUGCUUACAAUCUGGAUUACUUGUAUACGUUUCUUAUAUAUUUUCAGUCGAUUAACUUAUUGAUAAAAACAAAGAUUUUUGUACAAUAAACUUUUUCAUUUAAUGAUACUUGGCUUAGUUGGGUGUCAUCUUAACACUGGUUAUGUAUGCCACGACUUUCAAGACCAGAUUGAUUGAAUCCAUAUCUAAUCUCGUUCUCUUAACAUCCUAUAAAAGAGAAGUGUUGUUAGUGUUUAUUUGACAUGAUUGUCAUACUUCCACAGAUUAUUUUGUUGAUUCAAACUGUUAUGUCCCAGACUGUCAGAAUGGUAUCAUUUCAAUUUAUUUUCAAUUAGCUGCAGAAAGCUUGAUGUUUUUUAUUAUACUGAAUGGAGCCUCCUGCCCGUUGAGACAAUUAAUGGCCGUGUUAUAUUGUCUGCUUAGUUAAUAUAGUGGCCUCUCGAUGAACUGCGUCAUUUUAUAGGUGAUAAUAUUGCUUCUUGAUAGUUAACUGCUUUAGUUUUGUAAGUGCAUAGGUGUAAGUUCAGUACUUGUGUGGGAACUCAGGAAGAUAAGCUGGUGUAUAAGGCCAUGGCUAUCGGGUAGUAAAACAGUCAUAAUAGUUGUUGCGUGUUUGUAUAGCAUAUUAUUCUCAAUUGUCGUCAUGAUUAGCUAAGCAGAUUUACUUGUUCUGAUUUGUGGAGCACCUUGUUUGUUGGUGUUUGGUGUUGGUUAUUUCUUAAUUUCUUCUUCUCUGUUUCCGCUGCUUUGGUCUAGGAUGGACGUGUCAUAUGCUCAUCUCUUCCAAUCUAUGGGGAAGGAAAGGAACCAGGAAAUGAAGCUGGUUACAUUGUCGGGAUGUCUACUUGUUAUCCUAGACCUGGCUCUAUCAAGAUCUCGGAAGGGGAGACUGUAACUUUACUAUCAAACUAUAGCAAUGCCCAAAGGCAUACAGGAGUGAUGGGGUUGUUCUAUCUCUUAGUUGCUGAACCAUCACCGAAGCCUAAUUCUAUCCUACAUUCCACAGAUGAAGUAAGAUCUUUGACUCAUUAAAAGUUUUCGAGAUUCAGAGUAGUGAAUUUCCUACUUGAGUCUACACAAGAUCAUAUAUUUCUGAACUUGUUUCUUCUUCACUAUUGCAGACAGGUGAGAUUGUAAUAUUGCAGAAUGCUAUUGGAGCCUUGGCAGCAGUGUUCGGAAUUGCACUACUUGUUGGUGCUGCUGUUAUUUAUCAACGUCGGAAUCAAAGGGAUCAGGAAGGCUAUGAGUCUAUACUGAUGUGAGGUUCUUUCCCUUCUGGUGACUCUGGUCCCUAGUGUAAUACACAAAAUUCAAGUUCUGAUCUCCCUUCUUUUCGUGGACUAGUUCCUCCACAUGUGUGUUGCACUUGUAUGUCAAGUCAUGAAUUAUACGAUUUUGUAAAAUAAUAAUGAUAUUAUUAAAAUAAAACUUUGAGUAAAUGAUAGUACAAGUAUUUGUGAAUGAUGUAUCUUUGGAUCUUUGUAUAGUGACAUGUUUGUCAUUGUUAAGAAGUUGAAUAGUUAAUUAGCAUUAAUUAGAUAGAUAUUAUCUAGCAAAAAUAUUCUUUUAACUUAUAAGUAGGCUUCUGUUAGGGUUUUGUCCUGAUUUUCUUACCAUAAUUUAAGAUUUAUUUUUCCUUAAAGAAAAGACAAAACAUUACCAUAAAUGUUUUUACUUAUUUGAAAGGAAAAUAUAAUAUUCUUUCAUAUUUGAUUUAUUCUCUCCUUUUAGGACUCCUUUUCUAGUAAGAAAAGGUUUUAGGACUCUAUAAAUAUGUUUGUUUCUUCUAACACAAAAACAAUAACAUCCACAAUGUAGUCGUUUAACAGUCUUGUUUAUGGGGAGAUUUAUUCUCUCUAAAGUUUCAAUGUUUUUCUUUAUAUUAGUUUUGAUAUAAUAAUAUUUUGAUUUUUUAGUAUAAGUUUUUUGUUAUCUGAUUUAUCAACUAUAUGAUUUGUAAAUUGUAAGCUUCCGCAUGACGCCCUAAUCACCCUUCAGAACCCAACAGCUUCCUACUUCUAAAAGUAAAUAAGUUCAAAUUUAAUUUUCAAUCUGAAUAUCUCAAAGGCAAAACAAUUUGGUUAGUUGACAUCUUACUUUUGCAGUGAAAUAGCAAGAAAGAAUUAAUUUAUUUCCAAGAGGUUACUGUUGCCGUGAAAUAACAAAAAAGAAUAAUUUAUUUCAAAGAUGUUACUUUUGCUUUUCUAAGGACAAAACAGAUCUUGAAUUCAGCUAAAAUUAUUGAAUUAGGAUUAAAUAUAAUAAUGUCAGAAACAGAUUUAAGGGAAAAUUACGCAACAAGGCAAAAUGUGAUAUUUAUUUACGAUAAAAUAUUACAAUUCGUAGCUAUAUGUAGGGUUUUAUAUAUUGUAUUCAAAAAACUAUUUUAUAUUUUGUAUCAAUUGUAUUUGUAUUCUGUAUCAAUUGUAUUCAUGAUACAACGAAUAUAAUAUGCAUUUAUCCCCUCUUUCAAAUAUAUUAUGUAUCAAUUAUAUCCAAUCAAAUAUAGGUGAAAGAUUUAUCUUUUAUAUCAGUUGAGAACUACCAUUGUCAUGGGAUUGCUCUUCAUUUAUUUCAUCACAAAAAAACUCCUAAUUUCUCCUACAUUUUUUAGUCUCCACACUGAAUUUUUACUAAUCUGGUAAGUUUGUCUCUUAUUAAUUUCUUUUUCUAAUACAAAAUUAUUUCUAUUCUUCCUAUACAUAAUAAGAAAAUGAGUAUGUAAAAACAAUAAGACUCACUCUUUUGUAUUCAACACGAAAAUAUGGUGUACUAUUUCUUAAUUUCCUAGUAUAUGUUAGUAUUAUACAAAGUUGCAUCUAUUUAUUUGACUUUCAAUUACCACAACAGGGGAAAAUAAUAUUUGCAGUAUCAUAUUAAUGAAUCUUCAGCUAGUUUUUGUUCUUUGUUCAACAAAAAAAAUGCCUAUUAAUUUGCCUCCACCAAACCCCGCCCAUACCCGCUCCAUUGUCAUCCCAAGCCUUGCCCUACCAUGGAUUCAACCCACCCUACCCUGCCCCGUUUAGCUCCUCUACUUUUUUUUUUUUAUCAAGUUUGCAAAGGUAAUUUAGAAAAUAAUCAAAUGUAAUCAAUGAAGCUUUGUUUCUCCUAAGAAAUUAACUAACAUGUUCCUAAUUACAAGAGUAGAACUUCAGGAGAAAAUGAUCGAAAUGGUCCUAAAUGUAUGUGUAAUGCUUUUUUUGGUCCUUAAUGCAUUUCACUUGAUUGGAAUGGUCCUUAAUGUAUAAUAAAUGUGUUCAUUUUAGUCCUUGAUAUAUUUCACUGGAUUGAAAUGAUCCUUAAUGUAUAACAAAAUAUGUUUAUUUUGGUCAUUAACCCUAAACUCAACAAGUUUAUCAAAAAAAUAAUCUUAAAUUUAACUGUGGACCCCACGUGGUGAAUUACUCCCAAGAAAUACUUUAUGAAAUCUAACAUCAUUUUCUCUAUUUUCUCUAACAUGUUUAUUAUUUUCUCUUGCUUAAAAUUGAAAUGGGUAUUAGGUUUUGAAAUAAUAUUAUAGAAAAGAGAAUAUAGUAAAUUUUGUUGGAGAAACUAGAGAAAAUGGUGUCAGAUUUAUGGAAUUCUUUCUUUAUUCUUUCUUUGGAGCUAACAAAAAAGACAAUAAUGGUAAUUUUUGUUAGCCAAGUAGGGUCUAAAAUAAAAUUUAACACUUUUUAUUUAGAUAUAGGGUAAAAGAUCAAAAUGAACCAUUUCAAUAAAAUAAAAUACAUUAAAGAUCAAAAUGAACAUAUUUGUUAUACAUUAAGGACCAUUUCAAUCAAGUGGAAUAUAUUAAGGACCAAAAAUAUAAAGCAUUACCUAUACAGGACCAUUUUGGUCAUUUUCUCAGAAUUUCACACAUGCCUAUUGUUUAGCUUGAUGAACUUGUCAAAUGUAAGAGUUUUAGAGGUCGUUUGGUACAAAGUUUAAUAACGCAUGGAUUAGUAACACAAAGAUUAGUAAUGCAAUGAUUAGUAGUGCAAUGAUUAGGAAUGCAGAGUUUAUUUAUAUCAAGUGUUUGGUUCAUUAUUUCUCACCUCUCUUGUGUUUGGAUUAAAACUCUAUAAAGUUUCUUUCCAAUUAUACCCUUGAAUUAUUAUUAAAUUGGGUCAAGUAAGAUAAUUAUCGGACAAUGCUAUUUUUUAUGGCGUUCUAACUAGCUAUGAGAAGAACAAUUUAGUUGUCAUGUUUGCUAUUUUUUCACUUGAAUUAUUUGAGGAUAAAUAAUUGUUAUCUUAAUAAAUUGAUCACUAAAAAAAUGUCAAUUUCCAAUUUAAAAAAGAUAAUCCAUCUACUUUUAAAAUAUGUUGCAAAUGUCGAUUGCACUCAUACAAAGAAGAUAAGCAUAACUUUUCCUAGUGGAGGAGAUAUCAUCUACGGAGUUGCACAUCAACAUACAGGAGGGACUGGAUGGCACUCCAUGGAGAGGUGCUCUAAGCUAUUAUAUUUUGUUUCUUUGGCUAUGUUUUCUUAUAUAUUUUUAAUUAUUUUUUGUACUUGGAUUUGCUAUAUUUGAGCCGAGAAUCUUUCAGAAACAAUCUCUCUAUCUCCACGAGGUAGUGGUAAGGCCUUCGUACACUCUAUCUUCUCAGACCCCACUUAUGGAGCUACACUGGGUAUGUUGGUGUUCUUGUUGAUGAUACUUGGAUUAUUAGUUGAGUUGCAUCUUAACACUGGAAAUGUAUGCCACAACUUGCAAGACCAGAUUGAUCGAAUCCAUAUCUAAUCUCAUUCUCAUAACAUAAAAAAAGAAGAAGUGUUGUUAGCAUUCAUUUGACACGAUUGUCAUACUUCAGAAGAUGGUGUUGAUUAUUUUCUUAAUUUCUUCUUAUCUGUUUCCGCUGCACUGGUCUAGGAUGGACGUGUCAUAUGCUCAUCUUUUCCAAUCUAUGGAGAAGGUUAGGAAAGGAACCAGGAAAUGAAGUUGGUUACAUUGUGUUGAAGAAGAAUGGGUAUUAUUCUCAUUCAUUGAUGUCCAAGUUGAUCGAAGAAAGAAAGGAAAUAAGUAUUGUCGGAAGAGCCCAUAUGAAUACACAUAUAUUGACAAAUAGCUUGUCUCCAGGCUCCACACGUGGCAACAUUAGAGCGAAUACUUUAUUCAUUGAUGGAUUAAAUCUUAACCAUCUGAUGAAACCCAAACAAAUAGCUAAUGUGGUCACGUAAGGAAAGUAUGCCUAUAGAAAAGAGAAUAUUUUCUGUUAUAGACUAGACCAAUAGUUUAGGAACAACCGUACAAAAUAUAUUUUCUUUCUUAUUUAUUUUCAGCAAAGCACUUGUAAAAAUACAAUCCCUUUGGGAAAUCAAUACACAAUGAAAUUUUAAAAAUCUUCUUUCAAUUUUCUAACAUGGUAUCAAAGCAAUAAGCUCAACCUAAAGAUUUCCUAUCAAUCAACAUGAGUGAUGAGACCCAAAUCAACAUUACCAAUGCUAGAAACACCAUCGACCCUGUCAACACGGGAUCUGGAAACAAAGUUGACAUCAAUCAUCAUUUUCACCUUCAACCUUCAGAUGCACCAGGGCAGACCCUAGUGAAUACCUCAUUUGAUGGAAGAGGUUUUCCUGGAUGUCGAAGAUCUGUCCUCAUAGAUCUCUCAGCUAAGAAUAAGCUGGGUUUUAUCAAUGGAUCCAUCACACCACCAGAUCUGAAUACAUCAAACUACCAACAGUGGAGUCGAUGCAAUCAUAUGGUUACUUUUUGGCUUCUGAAUUCUGUCUCCAAAGAUAUAGAAGGCAAUGCAAUCUGCUCCAAAACAUCUAGAGAUAUGUGGAUGAGUCUUGAGCAUAGGCUUGGGAAAACAAGUGGAGCUAAGUUGUUUCAUCUACAAAAAGAGAUCAUAGGAUCAGUACAAGGUACACUUGAUAUUUCUACAUAUUUUACUAGGCUCAAACGUCUAUGGGAUGAGCUAGAUUCGCUGAAUGCGGAUGUAGUGUGCACUUGUGUUUGUAUAUGUGAAGGGCAAAAAAAAUUAACCAAAUCGCUGCAGGAUCAAAGACUUGUGCAAUUUUUAAUGGGUUUGACUGAUGUGUAUUCCAAUGUUAGGAGUAUCAUACUCAUGUCAAACUAUCUUCCCACACUUGAUUAUACUUGUUAUCUAUUGCUACAAGAUGAGAAUCAAAGGGAAGUGUUUGCUAAUGCUCAUUUUCCUAGUGAGACUGUUUCAGUCAUGGUAGGUAUAACUGCAAGUCCUAUACAGAAGCAAGGGAAACAAGCUCAAAGGAAUGUUUUCCCAUUGCAGAGGCAAAAAGGAAACCAAUUCAGAAAUAAAGGAAGAAAGACAAAAUUUAACCCUGAUGUGACCUGCAAUCACUGCAUUAAGAUAGGGCAUAUAAAAGAAGAUUGUCACAGGUUGAUAGGGUAUCCUGAUGAUUUUUAAUUUACCAACAAUAGAGAAUUUCAGGGAACACCUAAGGGAAACACAACAAUGAUAAGAGAAGUUUUUGAGGAAAGUGACACUACACAAAUUCAGAGUAACUGGAAGGAAGGAGGGCAACAAUUCAACAAGGCGCAAAUAACACAAAUCAAAAACAUGAUGAAGGAAGAAAUGGGACAUGGAACAACUCCUGAAUCAGAAAUUAAUGCUAAUGUUGUUGCUGGUACUAUUCUUAAGUACUCUGGUUCUUGUUUUAAGAUUGUGGACUCGGAGCUUCUGAGCAUAUGUGUUAUGAUUCCAACUCUUUCCUAUUUUUUAACUCCUCUUAUUGUUCCUUUGAGUAUCAGUCUUCCAAACUUUUUAAAAAUAAAUGUCACACACAUAGGUAGUGUUUCUUUUAAAUCUCAACUCACUCUUAAGAAUGUUCUUUAUGUCCCAGAUUUCAAAUAUAAUUUGUUGUUUACUCACAAAUUAUGUUGCCAAUUUCAUUGCACUUCUUAUUUUAAUUCUAGUGGGUGUAUGUUGCAGUCCCCUUUUAUGAAGAGGGCACAAGCUUUUGGUAAAGUGAAGGAAAAAGUUUAUAUGUUUUGGAGCAGAGAAGUGAUCAAUCUAAGAAGUCUUCUAGUGAUAAUAGCUUUUCUUUCAAAAAAACUCAGUCAUGACAGUCCCGUUUCUAGCUCAAAUCUAGAGUCAGUUCCAAUGUAUGCAAAUGCUAUUUCUAAUGCACAACUCUGGCAUUGUAGAUUGGGACAUCUCUCUUUUUCAGUAAUGAAAAGUUUUUGUUUCAUUGAUUUUUCUUCAAAUUCUGAUCAUGUGUGUGAUGUAUGUUCUAAAGUUAAACAAACUAGACUUCAUUUUCCCCUUAGUAGUAUCAAAUGUAAAGGAAUAUUUGAUUUGAUUCACAUUGAUACAUGGGUCCUUACAAGUCCUGUACUCACAAUGGUUAUAAGUACUUCUUGACUAUAGUAGAAGCACUUGGACUUUUCUUUUGACAACUAAAAGUAAUGUCUUCUUUGUUCUCAAAUCCUUCUUAUGUAUGGUGGGCUCAUCAGUCUCUCUUUUGUUCCCUCUCAACACCAGCUUGCCGAUCUUUUCACCAAAGCUCUCUCUGGUGCACCACAUUGUGAUCUACUGUGCAAGUUGGGGGUUUCAUCCACCCCCUCCAACUUGAGGGUGAUGUUGAAGAAGAAUGAGUAUUAUCCUCAUUCAUUGAUGCCCAAGCUGAUCGAAGAAAAAAUGGAAAGAAGUAUUGUCGGAAGAACCUACGUGAAUACACAAAUAUUGACAAAGAGCUUGUCUUCAGUUCCACACGUGGCAGCAUUAGAGAGGAUACUUUAUUCAUUGAUGGAUUAAAUCUUUACCAUCUGAUGAAACCCAAAUAAAUAGCUAAUGUGGUCACGUAAGGAAAGUAUGCCUAUAGAAAGGAUAAUAUUUUCUGUUAUACACUAGACCAAUAGUUUAGGAACAACUGUACAAAAUAUAUUUUCUUCCUUAUUUAUUUUCAGCUAAGCACUUGUAUAAAUACACUCCCUUUGGGAAAUCAAUACACAGUGAAAAUUCUGGAAAUCUUCUUUCAAUUUUCUAACACAUUGUCGGGAUGUCUAGUUGUUAUCCUAGACCUGACUCUAUCAAGAUUUCAGAAGGAGAGACUGUAACUUUACUAUCAAAUAUAGCAAUGCCCAGAGUAUACAUGAGUGAUGGGGUUGUUCUAUCUCUUUGUUGUUGAACCAUCAUCGAAACGUAACUCUAUUCUUAGUGUAUACUUGUUAUGCUGUAAUUUUACUAACUUUAGAAAAAUCACAUUUUGAAAUGUUCUAAGUAUAAAACAAUUUGAAAAACGCCACUUAAUUUUUUUUAAAGAAAUUAAGAAAACUUAAUUUAAAAAGACUCUAACAGAUUAAAUCUUUAUAAAUUUAGAGAAAAUGGGUAAGAGGUUCUUAUUUACGCUUCAAGAAGGUUUUUAAGGCAUUUGAAGCGCCCACUAACAUGCGGUUAUCCUACGACUUGGUUAAAAUAUAUUUGACUAUUUUUUAGGAAAAUGAUUUGACUUACAAACUAAUAAUUUACAAUAUUUGAUUUAACUUUGAAAAAAUAAUUAAAUAAAGGACACAUUUUAUUUUAUUUUUAAGGAAAGGGACCUAAAUUGAAACGUUUGAAUCUAAUUACAAGUGAUUGGAACUUUAACAAAACUAGAUUAAUUAGAAUUUUUUAUUUUUUUGAAUCAUUUUAAAAAAUAAUAAUUUGAACUAAAUUAGUUAAUUUAAGCAUGAAACUAUUUUUAAUUAAUUAAAAAAAAUAAGUUUUGACUAAUGAUGUUAAAUAAAAGUAUGAGAGUUGAUAAAAAAUGAGUUAUAUUAAAAUGUACUAACAUAAAAAAUAUAGUUCAUCUUUUGGGGAAUUUAAUUAAGCUAACCUUAAAAUUAAUUAUCAAAUAAGCAAGUAAGAGUAAGACAAAUUAAUAAAUUCAAAUAGAGAGUGAGGGAGGAAGAUUUGGGCCUUUCUGAUCUUGGGCUUUUGCCCCAUUUCCCUGUCCUAAACUAUUAUAAAGGCUGCCCAAAAAUCAGAUGGGCUUUGGCCCAUCUUCCAAAAAAAAAAAAGCUGCCUGAAUUUUCUUGGGGCUUUUGGGCCCAUUUCUGAUUUUUGUAUACAGACCGUAUACUGUCCGUAUAUCAGUGUAUAUAACUCCAUUUUUAACUAUCGAGACUUGUAUUUUUCGUCUUCGACCUGUAUAUCCGCAGUUUGGAUCUAUAUUUCAGUACCUCAACCUAUAUAUCAGUGUAUAAAUAUUGUAUACAACAUGAUACAACCCAUUUCUUGGGCUUUUAAACAUUUCUAAACUAAUUUCCAGCAGUUUGUUGGGCCUCCGGGAUCUGUAACGGCUUCCAAAUACAUAGGGGGGCUGACUCGAGAAAUAGGGAAAGCAAAGAUCGAGCCUUUAUGGCUCAACUCGGAAAUGUAAGGUAGAUAAGUCCACCAUGGACUCGAAAGGGGGUCCAUACAAGAAACGAAAGAAAGAACAAAAUUAGUAUGUGAGACGAAGAAGCAAAUGAAGCAUAAUUCAAUUGAAGUAAAGAGCAACUCAAGCACUUUAAAAAAAAUGCAACCAAAGCUACCAUAGGACAAAUGAAUACUACUGUAUCAAAGGAAAAAAAAACUCACUCUUCAUCUAUGACUUAACAGUGCAUGAAGGAAAUCAAAGCAUGAUAGGAAGUAAUGUAUUUAACACUAGACUAUCACAAUCUACGCAUAAGGAAAUUUCAAGGCAUAUGUAUACACACACAAGAAUAAAGUUUAUAAGCGAGUGAAAAUGGAUGUAAUAAAAGCAGCUCACAAUAUGGUAAACAAAUAGUUAGUAAUUAACAUAAUUAUGUAUAAAAGAGAGAGGGAGCAGGCUAACGAACAAUCAAACUAUGCAUCUACCAAUAAAUAAAGCCACCUAUCGCAGAGGUAUCAUAAAUCAAAGAUAUGGAGUAAGGUAAUUUUGUUUAUUUGGAAAUAGAAGCCACCAAACAUGACAAUCGAACUGCGAGGAAAAUAACACCAAAGAUUCAAGUUUAAUCAUCCUAAGGACCAAACUCUAGCCAACUAAGAUAUAAGAGACUUAAAUGGGGAUAUACAUACAUGAAAAGAGAGCAAAUUACUACGCUAAGUAUUCCUAAGGAUAUGUAUCGGGACAACGAGAUCAUGAUGAGAUAUUAGAACAUUUUAAGCAAAAUCAAAUCCGAAGCGGGGCGACAUUUGAGUAAAAAAUGAAAAUGGCAUUGUCAAACACUAGAUCUUCCUAUCAUGGCAAAUAAAGACAACCUCAUUCAAGUAUAAUACUUCUAAACACAUAAAGAUUAAGCACAUGCAAGGAAAAUACCUCGAAAUGAACCCACGAUAAUUUUGACAUGCACUAAAAGACUAGAAAAGUUAUAAACCCAUACCGGUUUAAUUAAACUAAAAAAAAAAAACUGAACACAUUUUGCUAAGAAGAGAGUGUACCAUACAAAUUACAUAUAUUGUUAAAUCAAGGCUACUCUCUUUAUUAGAGAUUAACAACACCAAGUAGUGAACAAGAAACAUAGCAAAGCAAAUUCACUACGAAACUUCUGUAAUCAUUUUUGACAAACAGAGAAGCAGUAAAGAUGAACUACAUGGACGACAUAGAUUAGGCAAAUAACAGAUGCUAAAAAAUGGUCCAAGCCAAAGCCAAAAUCUUAUCCCAUGAACUUGAACACACACGGGAUGCUUACAAUCCAUUAAACAACUAACCAAGCAUGUUGGUGGAACAAAAUCUAAUUUGUGAAUACUUAACAGAAAGCUAGUACACCAUUUCAGAAAUGAAUAAGUAAAUGACAUAUCAAGCUCAAAAAGAAGCCGACAUAAUUAAAAUUGAAAACUUCAAAAGAUAAAAAUACGAGAGGAAGAGGAAACUUGAUAAAGGGAAAUAGAUUACCUUUUCGGGGGCAGCGAGACUAGGACAAAUGAGCUGAGAACAACGACUCUUCUACUAUGAAAUCUAUAUACGAACAACACGCUAAGAAACUCCGAGCGUCGAUCUUCUCAGAGCUUAGAAUCAGAAAGCUAGAUAUGGAAUUCUUAAGUGUAAAAUGUCUAUGGCUCAAAAACCAAGCUCAAAACCCGUGUCCUAAUCACUGAGAGUAGGGGGUUAUUUAUAAGGAAAGUUGGGGUGAUUUGGGGGGGGGGAAUCCGUUCAGCAAAAUUCAAAACUUUUGAAUUUCUUUCUUCGUUUCCAAAGGGAACAAUGAAAGAGAUUUGAAGAUCUCUGAAAAUGGGGGAAAGGGAACAACGAUUUGAUCGAUUAGGUUGCUAGGGUUAUGGGUUUGCAAAUGGGUGACGUACGGGUUUUUUUGCAAAGAAGAAAAGGCGUGCGAUUCUGGGUUUCUUUCUUUGACUUUUUCGCGAAGAAAAUGCAGGGGUGGGGUCGGGUUUGGUACUGCUCGCGAUUUUCUGGGUUUGCAGCGUCCUGAUUUGCUUCGCGAGGAAGAAGAAAGGCGCGUGGAUCACGUCGCGUACUGCUGAUGGCAUUGGGUUGGUUUUUGGUACUGCUGUUGUGAGUAUUUGGGAGUUGUUGAUGAAUGUAAUGUGGGCUGCUGAUUUAAAUGGAAGUUGGGCUAAAAAUUGGCCCAAUUUUGGUCUUAAAUUGAUCCACUAAAUGGAGCAAAUAUUGGUUAAAAUUCAAUUUUGAAAAAUAACCAUAUAGAUUACAAAUUCGGCCGAGUGAAGUUAAGGACAUAGUCGAUUUGAAUUAGUUGAGGAAUUCGACUAAGGUCAAAUAAGAUGAAUUAAUAUAAAUUAAUUAAUGAGCUUCUUAAUCUUAACCAGAUAAAAUAAUCAAUUUUAAAAUAUUAACUAUUAAUUAAUUAAACUAAUUGGCAAAAUUUAAAGCAAAACUAAAACCUUUUGAGACGAUUUUCAAAUAAAAAUAUACUAAUUAUAUACAUAACUAUAAAAACAUAUUUAUUAUAUUUAAAAAUUAUAAAAUUGACAAAACUUACAUAAAAAUAAUUCGAAAAAUAUUUCGAAUUUCAUAAAAGCUAAUUAAUUCAAAAGUAUAGCUAUCACUUUAAAACACACUAAAAAUAUAAAAUCUUUUGAGAUGAUUUUCGAAUAUUUAUAGGAUAUACUUAUUUCAUACAUAAUAAUAUAAAACAUAUAUAUUAUUAAAAAUUAUAAAAAGUGAUAGACUAUUUAAAAACUUGCAAAAAUAUUUUUAUUUUAUUUUUUAAAAAUUUAUGAAACUAAUUAUUUUAAAUAAUUUGAAAUUAAAGAGGCUCGAUGAUUAAUCUAUAAUGUAGAGUUCCAGGGUGUCAACAAUACUGAUAUGAGGUUCUCUCCAUUUGGUGACUGUGCUCUCCUGUGUAGUACACAAUGCAAGUUAUGAUCUCUCUUCUUUUUGGACAUGUGUGUUGCACUUGUAUGUCAAUUUACUGAAUUACAUAAUUUUGUCAAUAUUAUUAAAAUAAAACUUUGAGUAAAUGAUGAUAUAUAUUAUGCAUAAGAAUAAAGUACUAAGUGUUUGUGAAUGACAUAUCUUUGGAUCUUUGAAUAGUGACAUGCUUGUCAAUGUUAAGAUGAUGAGAAAUUAUCCGAAUUUACGUAAGGAUGACUCUAGAAAAAACUACAACAUAGUAAGGCACGCAGGAGGAUGAGAAAGAUACACACAUAUAUAUAUAUACACACGCGCGCGCGCGCACACACACACACAUAUAUAUAUUGUGGUUCUUUGCUCUCUAUCUUCGGCCAUGCACCCCAUAUAAGUAGUGUCGCCACAACUUAAGAACAAAGACCACGACCGUCAACUCCAAGUCAUGAGUAAGGUAGUUCUUCUCAUGGGUCUUCAACUGCCUGGAAGUAUAGUCAAUCACUUCCCCUUUUGCAUCAAAACACCACCCAAGUCGACACCUGAAGCAUCACAAUAUACGAUAAAGCCCACACCCUCUUUUGGUAGAGUCAAAACAAGUGCCAAAGUCAACAAGGUCUUGAGGUUUAAAAAGCUCUCAUCACACUCAUCAAACCACUGAAAACCCACACUCUACUAAGUCAAUCUGGUGAGUGGGGUUGCAAUAGUAUAGAAACCCUAUACAAAUUGUAUGUAGUAGCCUACCAACCUAAUAAACUACGAAUCUUAGUCGGAGAACUAGGCAUCGUUCAACCUCUCACCGCCUCAAUCUUGGCUGGAUCCACUCAGUACCCUUAUUGGACACCACACGUCCCAAGAAUGCCGCUGAAUUAAGCUAGAACUCACACUUUGAAAAUUUUGCAUACAACUUCUCCUCUCUCAACCUCUAAAGCACUAUCUUCAAAUGGAAAACAUGAUCCUUCUCAAUGUUGGAGUACACCAAAAUGACAUCUAUGAAUACAAUCGCAAAAGAAUCCAUAUAAGGUUAAAACACCCCGUUCUUCAACUCCAUGAACACUUCAGGAGCAUUAGUCAACCCAAAGGACAUCACCAAGAACCCAUAAUGGCCAUAUCGGGUUCGGAAAGUUGUCUUAGGGACAUCUGAUGCCCUAAUCCUCAACUGAUGGUAACUGGACCUUAAGUCUAUCUUAGAGAACAACCAGACCUCAAGUCUAUCUUAGAGAACAAAGUUGCUCCCUAAAGUUGAUCAAGCAAAUCAUCAAUGCACGGAAGAGGAUACUCGUUCUUCACCAUCACCUUGUUCAGUUGUCUAUAAUCGAGGCACAUUCUCAUAGACCCAUCAUUCUUCUAAACAAACAAGACCGGUGCACCCCAAGGUGACACACUAGGACGAAUGAACCUCUUACUCAAUAAAUCCGACAACUGCUCCUUCAACACUCUUGGGGCCAUGGGAUAAGGAGGAAUAGAGAUAGGCUUAGUGCCUGGCUCCAAAUCAAAAGCAAAAUCAAUGUCCUUAUCAAGAGGAACAUAUGGAAUAUUAGUAGGGAAUACAUCUGGAAACUCCUGAACCACGAGAAUGGACUCCAUGGGAGGUGACUUAACACUAGUAUCCAGGAUAAAAACCAAGUAGGAUAAACACCCUCUAUCCACCAAUCUCUAAGCACGUAGGAAUGAGAUAACCUUGCUAGGGUAAGAACCACUAGCACCUUCCACUCAAUCCUCGGAACACCAAGCAUCACUAAGGUCACAAUCUUAGCAUUACAAUCAAGAAUAACAUACUAAGGAGAGAGUCAAUCCAUACCCAAGAUAAAACUGCCAGUAAUUUAAUCUUCUCGAAUGCCCUUUUCACGAACGUGGUCCUUUAGGCGAUUAACCCACCGCAAACGCGGGAGUUUAUCAACUAAUGCGGAGGAAACACUCCUUAGUCUCCACGAACGUGGUCAAUCCCCACAAAUGCAGAGGACACCAGACAUCAACAACAUUAACAAUUCCCACAAGACACAAAAUUCACAGAAUGAAAGCCUUGGGAUUUGUUUAGAACAACAAAUUAGGUACACUACUCGACUAUAUUAAUGUUUCGGACUCAAUGGAACCACCGAAUCACCGAUUUGAGGUUUUCUUGACUCGAAACCUGUGAAAGUCGCAAUAAACUAACUAAACACUCAAAAAUACCAAACUGCCCUCGAAACCUCCAAAAAAUCAACCAAGACCACAACUAGGUCUAAAUCAUCCUCCGAAUCUAAUGAAAUCUUUGGAAAUCCAAUCUGAGCGUCCGAACUCCGAAUGUUGAUCAAAGUCAACUCAUGGUCCAAAAUCACUUAAAUUUCUAACUCAAAGGCUCAAAUCCACAUAACAACCCUAAAAUAGAGAACAACAACAGUCCUUAACCAAAUUCCACAUUACGGAAUUGAUGGAAUUUCAUUCCGAGGCUUGAAACUCUGGUUGUUACCAAAAAUCACUUUUAACAACUUUGAACAUUCCAAAACUCAAAACUCCCAAAAAUCACAACUUUUCAUUUAAAUAACAAAACCAACUUUGAAAACUGAUCUAAUGUGACUCUGAGCAUUUAUCGGGAGGGCUAAAAUGGUAAUUUUCCAAAAAUUUCCAAAAAUGACUUUCAGGGUCAUUAUAAUUACACAAUAGGACAUGUGCAAAUCAUGUUGUAGAUGUGAAGCUUAGUUGUUUGGUUUGAGGGCAUGUCACUAUCAUGAGAGUGUGAAUUGGUCCUCUAAUCAUUUAUUAUUUCCCUGAAAUCCCAUCUCCUUUUGAGUUGCCUAUGUCUCCCGUCUCCACACUCUUUGUGCUUAAAUUUGUGGGUCGUUAAUUGGUUGUGUAUACUAGCAUCAAGUGAAGUUAGAAAGAGAAAAAAAAUGUCACCCUCUUCAAAUUACCAGUUGUUUUCACUUGUCUCCAUCUUACUGCUAAUAACAGUUGAUCAAAGUUCACAAUCUCAAGCAACACAAGAAAACGGUGUGAAAGUUGGUGUCUUUCUAUCACCAGCGUUUGUGCUGGAACCUGGAUCUGUCUCUAACAAGUUUUACUACAACAUUGGCUUCCCAAAAGGCCAUAUUGCUAUUAAAAGUUUUGAUGCUGAAGUAGUUGAUGAGGCAGGGAAUUCGGUACCCCUUUACGAGACAUAUCUUCACCAUUGGGUUG